rnacentral:ncRNA from 1 species
AAGAGCCGUGUGCGAGGCCCGCAUGCACGGUUCUGUGAGAGGAAAGACCUAAGAAAAAAAAUAUUUCUGAGGUUCACCUACUCGAU